rnacentral:rRNA from 1 species
GUAGCCGGCCGGAUAAGUCUCUUGGGAAAUCUGGCAGCUUAACUGUCAGGCUUUCAGGGGAUACUGUCUGGCUCGAGGCCGGGAGAGGUGAGAGGUACUUCAGGGGUAGGGGUGAAAUCUUGUAAUCCUUGAAGGACCACCAGUGGCGAACGCGUCUCACCAGAACGGACCUGACGGCAAGGGACGAAAGCUAGGGGCACGAACCGGAUUAGAUACCCGGGUAGUCCUAGCCGUAAACGAUACUCGCUAGGUGUCGGCCACGGUGCGACCGUUGUCGGUGCCGUA